rnacentral:tRNA from 1 species
GCGCCCGUAGCUCAGCGGAUAGAGUACUUGACUACGAAUCAAGGGGCCACAGGUUCAAAUCCUGUCGGGCGCACCA